GACGAACGCUGGCGGCGUGCCUAAUACAUGCAAGUUGAGCGCUGAAGGUUGGUACUUGUACCAACUGGAUGAGCAGCGAACGGGUGAGUAACGCGUGGGGAAUCUGCCUUUGAGCGGGGGACAACAUUUGGAAACGAAUGCUAAUACCGCAUAAAAACUUUAAACACAAGUUUUAAGUUUGAAAGAUGCAAUUGCAUCACUCAAAGAUGAUCCCGCGUUGUAUUAGCUAGUUGGUGAGGUAAAGGCUCACCAAGGCGAUGAUACAUAGCCGACCUGAGAGGGUGAGCGGCCACAUUGGGACGGAGACACGGCCCAAACGCCUACGGGAGGCAGCAGUAGGGAAUCUUCGGCAAUGGACGAAAGUCUGACCGAGCAACGCCGCGGGAGUGAAGAAGGUUUUCGGAUCGUAAAACUCGGUUGGUAGAGAAGAACGUUGGUGAGAGUGGAAAGCUCAUCAAGUGACGGUAACUACCCAGAAAGGGACGGCUAACUACGUG
rnacentral:rRNA from 1 species